UGACAGGUGGAUGUACUGAUUUAGUUGUGUUUCACACAGAGAAUAAACUCUCCUGUGGAUGACAAACCCCUGUCUAUGAUUCGUCACUAAAGACACAACGCAGAGAUUUAACUUGAUGGCCGCGUAGAGAUGAGACCGGCUACACUGCAUGUUGGAGAG